CCGCGUGCAGGAAGAAGGCCUUCUGGGUUGUAAACUGCUUUUGUCAGGGGAUAAAAAAUUCCUUGCGAGGAAUAUUGAAGGUACCUGGCGAAUAAGCCACGGCUAACUACGUGCCAGCAGCCGCGGUAAUACGUAGGUGGCGAGCGUUGUCCGGAUUUAUUGGGUUUAAAGGGUGCGUAGGCGGUCCUAUAAGUCAGUGGUGAAAUAUCGCAGCUUAACUGUGAGGGUGCCAUUGAUACUGUAGGACUUGAGUGAAUUUGAGGUAGGCGGAAUUGACGGUGUAGCGGUGAAAUGCUUAGAUAUCGUCAAGAACACCGAUAGUGAAGACAGCUUACCAAGCUUCAACUGACGCUGAGGCACGAAAGUGUGGGGAUCAAACAGGAUUAGAUACCCUGGUAGUCCACACUGUAAACGUUGAUUACUCGCUGUUGGCGAUACACAGCCAGCGGCUAAGCGCAAGCGAUAAGUAAUCCACCUGGGGAGUACGCCGGCAACGGUG
rnacentral:rRNA from 1 species